AAUCCUUGAUUUUCUUGAAAGUUGUCCUGACUUGAAACUUCUCUAUAUUGAAAAGGUACGUUAGCUGUGUGUAAAGCUAGCGUUGACUAGUUCUUGGUACUUCUUAUACUUGGAUAUAAUAUUAAAACGACACUUUUUGUUUGUGUUAAAAACAAAAGCUUGCAGGUUCUCUUUGGUUUGAACAGAAGGUUGUUCCAGCUUGUAUGCUAGCAAAUCUUACAUCUAUCAAGUUUUCAAUCUGCAAGGGAUGGAAAUGUGAUAUGCCAUUGCUGAAAUACAUGUUGGGGAAUGCAGAGGUGUUGAACAGGUGAAGGGGAGUGAUGCAUAGAGAAGCUGCAGACAAAUGGUUGCUUCAAAAAGUUCAAGCGGAACUAGAAAGAGAACGAGAGGCAAGAAAAAACAUAGAAUCCCGUUUCGAACAAUUUCAACAAGAGCGCGAAAAAGAGCGGGCCGACCAAGUGGCAUGGCAAAAAACUAUGGAAGAAAAGCUGAAAAACAUAGGAAAUAAGUAAAAACUCUCGUCUUGUUAAGUAUUGGAAUGUUAAAGAUCGGAUUAGUUUUGAAUGCUUUUAGUUAGGAUUUUUGUGCGUUUUGAAAUGUUUUAAAUUUUUGGAAUGUC